rfam:Serratia symbiotica str. Tucson genomic scaffold scaffold00339, whole genome shotgun sequence.
CCAAUCGUCCCAUCGAUUGUAGCCUAGCCGGAGUGCGUCACGGGUAACUGUGGGGUUCUAAGCCCGGUACAACGUACCCUUCUGAGAAGAUAGGUUAAUUCGUGAGAUGAAACCGAUGUCUGGAAGCAUCGUCCGGACAAGGGG